rnacentral:rRNA from 1 species
GGCCUAACACAUGCAAGUCGAGCGGUAGCACAGGGAGCUUGCUCCUGGGUGACGAGCGGCGGACGGGUGAGUAAUGUCUGGGAAACUGCCUGAUGGAGGGGGAUAACUACUGGAAACGGUAGCUAAUACCGCAUAACGUCUUCGGACCAAAGAGGGGGACCUUCGGGCCUCUUGCCAUCAGAUGUGCCCAGAUGGGAUUAGCUAGUAGGUGAGGUAAUGGCUCACCUAGGCGACGAUCCCUAGCUGGUCUGAGAGGAUGACCAGCCACACUGGAACUGAGACACGGUCCAGACUCCUACGGGAGGCAGCAGUGGGGAAUAUUGCACAAUGGGCGCAAGCCUGAUGCAGCCAUGCCGCGUGUAUGAAGAAGGCCUUCGGGUUGUAAAGCACUUUCAGCGAGGAGGAAAGGCAUUGUGGUUAAUAACCGCAGUGAUUGACGUUACUCGCAGA